GUCAUUUGUGGAACUGCCCCCGACCCCCGGGUCCUCUCAUUUGUCUCCCUCCUCUCUCUCUCUCUCUCUCUCUCUCCCUCACUCCCCGCCAUGGCCGCCGCCGCCGCCACCGCCCUUCGCGUCCCCACCGCCAACCCACGCUGCUGCUCGCCGCACAUGUUUCCCACGCCACCGUCGCUCAGUCGUGGAGAUCCUCGCAAGGUCGGUGGCAUUCGGCGGCGCAACGGCGUGGGGAGCCACGCGUCGCCGUUGCGGAGAUAGGUCAGAACUCGCUGGCCUCCUUGGCACUCAGCCUCGUCGCUCACGACACGACACCCUCAUAAGCACAGGCAGCCGGGCUCCCAAUUUGUGAUUGGAAGCGGCUGCUUGCCUUCCCCCAGAUCUGGCUGACACCUUCCCCGUCAUAUCCGGCACGGUGCCACGGUGGUGAUGAUGACUUCUUCCUUUUUUUUUUUGAAACUGAUGACUUCUUCCUUGCCCACGGGAAUGUUGGUCUUUGUUGACACAUUUAUGUACCUUGUGUAUGUCGACAUUUGAACGGAAGGGCAAAUUAAUCAGAUGUGUUACUCAAUCUGUGUAGUUAUUUCCUACUGAUACAAUAGGUCAGGAAUUUCUAGCAUAUAUGUUUGAGAGAUGCAAAUGACUUGCAUUGCCUACUGAUACAAUAGAUUAGGAAUUGGGUAUAACUUUAGAUGAAUUAGUUCAUAAAACUAGUUGAUAUUUAUUAACAGAUCAGUUGCUGUUGCUACUGAAUCCGGUGUUUGUGGAUUUGUUAUAAAUCUGAAUUCUUACAAUUAUGACACAUAGUUUCCUACUGAUACAAUAGGUCAGGAAUUUCUAGCACAUAUGUUUGAGAGAUGCAAAUGACUUGCAUUGCCUACUGAUACAAUAGAUUAGGAAUUGUGUAUAACUUUAGAUGAAUUAGUUCAUAAAACUAGUUGAUAUUUAUUAACAGAUCUGUUGCUGUUGCUAUUGCUGUUGCUACAUUUUAAUUAAUCAUAUAUGAUUACUUUCUUGCACAUGUGAUGACCAGCUUGUUCUUGAGCUCAGCCUUCUAGAAAUCUGAAAUGUCAGCAUGUGCCUUACUUUUCUUAUUAAAAUAUGACUACCCUUUUUCUGCUUUGAAAUCUUUGUGUUUCAAUGUUCAUUAAAGGGAUUCCUUCCUUACAUGAUCUCUUUUCUGAUCAUUCAGUGAUGGAUGACGAGGGAACUUAACUUUUGAUGAAGUGGGAAGGUAAGCGUAAUGAAGCCUAAUGCAUAUUAUGGUAAGACAAUACUUCUGAUAUUUCUGUCAUUCUUGUCGGGCACCCACCAAGUAAGAAAAUAUCCAACUUAAAAAAUACUUCUAAAAAUAUUCUUGUUAUUCUUGAUUCAGAAAACAGGAACCCAAUAAGGUCUGGGAGGAUCUACAUGUAACUGUAUCUUAAUAGGUUCUAGGCUCAUGCUUUCAGCUUGUUUUUCCAUCAUGUAAAAUUAUUAGAAAUUUGUUGCUGAUCAUUUCAAAAUUGUUCUUUGCAGUGAAGAAUCAUGCUCAUCUACAAUAUAUCUGUAAGCUAUAUCUUGAAAUUCAGUUUGGUUUCAAGACCAAAGAGCAGAUGGAGAUGAAGAUGAUGCUGCAGCAGAUGGCGUGCAAGCAUAGUCUUUCAAAUGGUGAUUUUCAGUUUCCUGUAUUAAUCCUCCUACCGUGAACGAUCUUUUUUUUGGUUCCAUGUCAUGGGUGAUAUAGAUUGAAGAACAGAAGGAGUGCAAGCACAUGCUGCGAUGGCUUGCAGAGUGCAGUAACAAAUGGAGGUUCACACAAAAUAUUGUCGUCGUCGUCCUCGCGAUCCAUCACAUGCACCAGCAUGGUAGUUUGGCAUGGCGACAGUGUGGCGACUCGGCGGUGCAGCAGCGUGGAGCCACUCGGCGGUGCAGCGGCCUAGAGAUAAUUGGCUGCGUGGCGGGAUGGUGCAGUGGUGUGGCACGGUGGUGAGCUGCACUCUGGCUGGACACUUGUACGAUAUUUGGAGAUGAAAACUGAAUGUCUGUAAAGUUUGGAUGCAUGCAAUGUUAAUGUGUGCUCAAACUAUUAAUGUGCUAAUUUGAUAUUGGUAGAAAGUCUUGCAUGGAUACCUUGUUUUUGGAGGCAUUUCUAGUAACGCCUCCAUCAAUAUUUGAAGGCAUAGUACAUAGUGCCUCUAAAAAGUAUUCUAGGCAUCUAGAAAAUGCCUUUAAAUGUUGAUAUUAAAAGGCAUUUUGAAAAAGUGCCUCAAAAGACCUUUUACUUCCA